AACUAACGCUGGCGGCGUGCCUAACACAUGCAAGUCGUACGAGAAAGCCGGCUUCGGCUGGUGAGUAAAAGUGGCGCACGGGUGAGUAACGCGUGGAUAAUCUGCCCUUAAGUGUGGAAUAACGUACCGAAAGGUGCGCUAAUACCGCAUAAUGCCUGGCAACACAAGUUGUCCGGCCAAAGAAGGCCUCUGUUUACAAGCUUUCGCUUCAGGAUGAGUCCGCGUACCAUUAGCUUGUUGGUGGGGUAAUGGCCUACCAAGGCUGCGAUGGUUAGCUGGUCUGAGAGGAUGAUCAGCCACACUGGAACUGAGAUACGGCCCAGACUCCUACGGGAGGCAGCAGUUGGGAAUCUUAGGCAAUGGACGAAAGUCUGACCUAGCGACGCCGCGUGAGGGAAGAAGGCCUUCGGGUUGUAAACCUCUGUCAUGGGGGAAGAAGGAAGUGACGGUACCCCAAGAGGAAGCCCCUGCUAACUACGUG
rnacentral:rRNA from 1 species